GACCCGCCACAGUGCCAGGCUAAUUUUUUGUAUUUUUAAUAGAGACGGGGUUUCACCAUGUUAGCCAGGAUGUGUGAUUUUUUUCUUAUUAAACAUUGAUCAAUCUGGAAUUUAUCUUGGCUUAAGAGUUCACUUUCAUUUUUCUUCAGAUGGCUACCCAGUUAUGCUGAUAUCAUACAAAUCUUUCCCCAUUGGUUUGAAAUUCUGAUUAUUUUAUUACUUGGGUCUUUUGCUGGGUUUUCUAUCCUUUUUGAUACCUCUUUGUCUAUACUUAGGUCAGCAAUACAAUGUUCAAAUUAUUGUAGCAUAGUUUUAAUAUCCAGUAGGAAGCAAACACAUUCCUUGAGUAUAUUUUUGUCUCUAGAUAAUGCAAGUAGGAAAGUUAGGCUAAUAAAUGUAUGUGAGCAAUGAG
rnacentral:lncRNA from 1 species